AACGAACGCUGGCGGCAGGCUUAACACAUGCAAGUCGAGCGCCUCGCAAGAGGAGCGGCAGACGGGUGAGUAACACGUGGGAAUCUACCCAUCCCUGCGGAACAACUCCGGGAAACUGGAGCUAAUACCGCAUACGCCCUACGGGGGAAAGAUUUAUCGGGGAUGGAUGAGCCCGCGUUGGAUUAGCUAGUUGGUGGGGUAAAGGCCUACCAAGGCGACGAUCCAUAGCUGGUCUGAGAGGAUGAUCAGCCACAUUGGGACUGAGACACGGCCCAAACUCCUACGGGAGGCAGCAGUGGGGAAUAUUGGACAAUGGGCGCAAGCCUGAUCCAGCCAUGCCGCGUGAGUGAUGAAGGCCUUAGGGUUGUAAAGCUCUUUCACCGAUGAAGAUAAUGACGGUAGUCGGAGAAGAAGCCCCGGCUAACUUCGUGCCAGCCGCCGCAGUAAAAC
rnacentral:rRNA from 1 species